GUAGGCCCUUCGGGGUACACGAGCGGCGAACGGGUGAGUAACACGUGAGCAACCUGCCCCUGACUCCGGGAUAAGCGGUGGAAACGCCGUCUAAUACCGGAUACGACCCUCCUCCGCAUGGUGGGGGGUGGAAAGUUUUUCGGUCGGGGAUGGGCUCGCGGCCUAUCAGCUUGUUGGUGGGGUAAAGGCCUACCAAGGCGAUUACGGGUAGCCGGCCUGAGAGGGCGACCGGCCACACUGGGACUGAGACACGGCCCAGACUCCUGCGGGAGGCAGCAGUGGGGAAUAUUGCGCAAUGGGCGAAAGCCUGACGCAGCGACGCCGCGUGGGGGAUGACGGCCUUCGGGUUGUAAACCUCUUUUACCACCAACGCAGGCUCCACGUUCUCGUGGGGUUGACGGUAGGUGGGGAAUAAGGACCGGCUAACUACGUGCCAGCAGCCGCGGUAAUACGUAGGGUCCGAGCGUUGUCCGGAAUUAUUGGGCGUAAAGAGCUCGUAGGCGGCGUGUCGCGUCCGCUGUGAAAGACCGGGGCUCAACUCCGGUUCUGCAGUGGAUACGGGCAUGCUAGAGGUAGGUAGGGGAGACUGGAAUUCCUGGUGUAGCGGUGAAAUGCGCAGAUAUCAGGAGGAACACCGGUGGCGAAGGCGGGUCUCUGGGCCUUACCUGACGCUGAGGAGCGAAAGCAUGGGGAGCGAACAGGAUUAG
rnacentral:rRNA from 1 species